rnacentral:lncRNA from 1 species
CCGUUUUCGAGCAAUUCAAAAAUAAUAAAAUAAUGCUUUGGCUUUGGGGCUAGAGUCUAAAGAAAUAAAAAAAUAAAUGAAGAUUCUCCGUUUUGAUUGUGUAAUUAUGACAUCACACCUGCAGAUAUAGCUUUCUGAAUGUAAAUAUGACAUCAAUUCUGCCAGCAGAAAAUGAGCUUCUUUACAUGCAGAACAUAUAAAGCCAUGGCCCAUGGCGAGAUUUGUUUUUGUAACUAAAAAAAGAAGCGAAAUACACUAAAGAGCUUACAAACUAAGACAGAGAAAAGAGAGAGAAAAACACAACCUUGGCAUUGAUAACUUUCAAUAUCACGCGAAAAAUUAUUAAUUAUUGUCGUAAUAGAUUUUUUGAAGUUUAGUAAAUUUCGUGUCCGCAUGUCCGCGUUUUCCACUUGACUUACGUGUCCGCGUGUCCGCAUGUCCGCGUUUUCCACCUAACCGAGUAAAAAUGACAACAAGCCGCACAAGCGGAAAUGGAAGGUCAUGCAUGUUACUCAGCAUGUAUUUUAGCUGUAAAUAAUUAAUCUCGUCACAUGAUCAUGACUAAGUUAUAUUUUCUCGUAGCAAUGAAGAGUAAAUAGACUAUGGUCUAUGGACUAUAGUCUGUAUAAAUUAGUUCUAAAUUGUUCCGACCGUGGUUAUAUUAAAUGUAAAUUGAAGUAACCAAAACAUUUAUAUUGCAAUGAUAUAUCUAGUUCAUUUAUAAUCAGGCCGAUUUGAAUAUGGUCACGAGACAGUAAGGUUGAAUUUCACAUCAAUUGUUGAUAUAAACAAACUGAAGUUCAAGCUUUGCACCAACAGUGAACUGUCCAUCUCACUUCAUUUGGGCGGCCAAGAGCACCAUUGACCCAAGCAUGAACAUGAGCUUUUCUUGCAGCUUUAUCCCAGCGUAAAGUGACUUUGCCGUUUCCAUUACCAAUAUUGAGUGUGUCAGAACUCUUGUCUUCGUGAUGCAUUGAAACAUGGAUAGCAUUCUCAGGCACGUCAUAAGUAUAAUCUUGUUUCUUACCGAAACCAAAUGAACCUUUGAGAUUACCCGAACCAAGUUCAAUCUUUAAUGUUGACAUUUUAAAAUAUAUAAUCUAUAUGUUCAUUAUAGAGAGUAUAGAAAGUGCGUAUACUGUCGCGUCUGUGUCGCAAACAUCGAUUACGUAAUUUUACAUGGAAUUGAUUUCACAGUGAUUUCCCACUAAUAUGGUGAUUCCCCAAGCGUCGAGCUUUCAGCCAAAGUGGAAUGAGAUGGACUGUUUACGUUUGGAUCAAAGUUUCAACUUCAGUUUGUUAUGAGCGUCGGUGGCGCAGUCGUCAGAGGAAGGCCUUUCAUCUCUGAGUUCGUGGGUUCAAUAAUAACGUCGACAUUUGUAUCGCAAGCAUCGAUUAUGUCAUUGUACAUGGAAAUGAACUUCCCACUAAUAUGGUGAUUCCCCCGGACUAUGUAUAAAUUCUAAGUCGAUCGGAAGUAUAGGUAGUUUCGUUCUCGCCUUUAACUCGUAAACAAGUGCGAGGUCCUUGACUUGAAGUGUUUAGAAAUUUUGGAUGCAGCGAUUCAAGGAGCAAAGCAAAGGUUUCUGAAACGAAGUAGAUGGCUGACCCUGUUAUUGUAGAUAUAGCGCCUGCAGAGAGCGAUGAUUCGAAUCAAAAUCAAGGCAAUAAAGCUGUUCAAAGUAAUCGGUCGCGUUUAUCAAGGUUUGUGGACUUUGUGGAACGCGUGAUCAGAUCACCUUGUGUGAUCAUACCUUCGAAGGUGCGUAUUACCUCAAUUAUUUCAUGUCAUUUGAUACUGGCAAGCUAAGAACUUUUAGAAAAAUAAAAAAACACUUUGAAUGUGAAAAAUACUUAAACGAAAUUAGUAAUUUCAAAUAUCGUCAAGCUGUUACAAAGUUAAGAAUAUCAGCACAUAAGCUAACUGUUGAAACUGGUAGAUACAACAAUGUCCCAUACAAUGAUAGACUAUGCAGACUUUGUGAGUUAAAUGAAGUAGGAGAUGAACAUCACUUUUUAAUGUCUUGUACAAACAUGAAGUUCAUCGACCUCAGGACAAAAUUCAUUGAUAAUUUAUAUGUAAUAAAUAGGUUUUUCAACUUAUUUACUUCGGAAAACCUAUUUAUAUAUAUUAUGGCUAUGAAGGAUAAGUCAAUAAUGAAGUUAGUAGGCAAAUAUUGUUUCGACGUUUUGGCUGCUUUUGAUAGCCUGGUCUAAUUACUCACGUGUGCGUGUGUAUGUAUGUGUAUUUAUACAUUUAUCAACUUUUUUUCAUAUAUAUUAAUAUCUAUGUUAUUGUUAUAGACCGUAACGACUUAUUUAGUUAUUUACCCAUGUAUUCUAUGUCCCAAUAUUGGGAUCUUGUUUGAAUAAAUUAUUAUUAUUAUUAUUAUUUGAUAUCUCAUAUUAAGUUUGGAACUCUACUUAAGGCCACAUAAAAAAAAUUACUUGUUUAGCGUCCACCCAUUUUAAUUUUUCUAGGUCGGGCGGACGGAUUUUUUUUUUUUUUUUUCGUAAAAUGCAACACAAAAUUCUGCUAAAUGCAGGAAAUCCAGUAUAUUACCACAGUCAAAACUCACUUUAAUUCUUUCAAAAUCCGUUCAUGUUUUUUAACUUACCGUUCAUGUUUUUAAUAAAACAGAAAAUUACCGUUUGGCGGUCACGCGCGAACACUUUAGCUGCGAACAGGCAUAUUCUGGGAAGGAAACUUUGUGUAAACGUAUUACAUAGCUCCCAGAAGAAUAAAAUCGCCAUUUUUUCAAGUAAAACGGUCUUUUUUAUAGAGUUUUUCCACUAAACUCGGACAAAUUUAAAAAAAAAAAAAGAAAAAAUUGGAGGUCGGGGACUUUUAUCAGGUCGGGCGGGGACGCUAAACAAGUAUUUUUUUUU